rnacentral:rRNA from 1 species
AUUGAACGCUGGCGGCGUGCCUAACACAUGCAAGUCGAGCGGCAGCGCGGGAGCAAUCCUGGCGGCGAGCGGCGGACGGGUGAGCAAUGCUUAGGAAUCUGCCUAUCAGUGGGGGACAACCCGGGGAAACUCGGGCUAAUACCGCAUACGUUCUGAGGAAGAAAGCAGGGGAUCGCAAGACCUUGCGCUGAUAGAUGAGCCUAAGUCGGAUUAGCUAGUUGGUGAGGUAAUGGCUCACCAAGGCGACGAUCCGUAGCUGGUCUGAGAGGACGACCAGCCACACCGGAACUGAGACACGGUCCGGACUCCUACGGGAGGCAGCAGUGGGGAAUAUUGGACAAUGGGGGAAACCCUGAUCCAGCGACGCCGCGUGGGUGAAGAAGGC